rnacentral:rRNA from 1 species
AACUUUCAACAACGGAUCUCUUGGUUCUCGCAUCGAUGAAGAACGCAGCGAAAUGCGAUAAGUAAUAUGAAUUGCAGAUAUUAGUGAAUCAUCGAAUCUUUGAACGCACAUUGCGCCCUUUGGUAUUCCAAAGGGCAUGCCUGUUUGAGCGUCAUUU